rnacentral:rRNA from 1 species
GGGCCCGCACAAGCAGUGGAGUAUGUGGUUUAAUUCGAAGCAACGCGAAGAACCUUACCAGGGCUUGACAUCCCACGAAUAAUGUAGAGAUACAUUAGUCCUUCGGGACGUGGAGACAGGUGGUGCAUGGUUGUCGUCAGCUCGUGUCGUGAGAUGUUGGGUUAAGUCCCGCAACGAGCGCAACCCCUGUGGUUAGUUGCCAGCAAGUUAAGUUGGGCACUCUAGCCAGACUGCCGGUGAUAAAUCGGAGGAAGGUGGGGACGACGUCAAAUCAUCAUGCCCUUUAUGUCCUGGGCUACACACGUACUACAAUGGCCGUAACAGAGGGAAGCAAUAGAGCAAUCUGGAGCCAAUCCCUAAAAAGCGGUCCCAGUUCAGAUUGUGGGCUGAAACUCGCCCACAUGAAGUAGGAAUUGCUAGUAAUGGCAGGUCAGCAUACUGCCGUGAAUACGUUCCCGGGCCUU